rnacentral:lncRNA from 1 species
UUUAUUACAGUGUACCAUUAGCGUCACCCUCCUCCCCCUGCCCCAAACUAACAACCAGUGCUAGUGGGAAGUUCCCAGGUUAACUAAAUAAAAUGUCACUUUGAUUGACAGAUGCUGGUGCUGUGUUCGUAGGUUUGCUUUGUCUCCAGCACCCCACUGGUCAAUAGGAACAAGGGAGCAAUUUUCAGAGUUAUUAGCUGUGUUUGAGCUGUGCUGUCUGCCAAAAGAAGAAGUGGCUUUUGGACGCAGAUUUUACCUCGGAUGUAAUGUGGAGAGACACGUUGACACCUCCCUCUGAUAAAGGCCUACACAGUGUGGUCCAGAGAAACAUGGAAAAUUCUGUCACCGAGUGAACAUGCUGCAAUGAAAGCGUAUGCCAGCCGGAAUACGAGGUCAAGAGAAUAAAGACAUGUGCAUGCUCCAGGCACGCAGGAGUCUUCUUAGUGAAGGGGAUGAUGCUGGAAGGAGGAAAAGAAGAGACCAGUUCGGGCAAGGAGGAGUCUUAGCUCAGCCUGCUUUCCUAAGAGCGAA